UUUUACUUUUACACAACCAGUACAAAGUACAGUAUUUGGGGGUGAGCAAGAGUCUCUGGUUUAUUUAGGAUUGUGCCGUGAAGACAGGGCUCUCUCCAGGCUGGCAGGCAGUGUCUCCAAACUUGGCUGAGGUCUGAGGAGCGAUGUUUUCAAGUAUAAGCUCCUCCACGUUCCCGAAGUAGCCUUGAUUAGGAGUUUCCAUCAAUGCUGGCCUUUCCAGGGAAGGAUGUGUGGAGAGCUUUUAGGGAAAUGGUCUGCACAGAGGAUCCAUUGGUCUGGAUUCCAGCCCAACCAUCUUCCCUAAUGCCGCCUCUGCUCAAUCUACAGCCAUUAUCCACACACAUCAGCUUCCCACUCUUUUCAGUUCUGGGUCUGCCUAAAACAAACGCGCACCCCUUCCAAUCUACCAUAUUGGAUCUGCACAUUUCUGCUUCUCACCACCAAAGCUGUAAAAAUGUAGCAGAUAUCAGGGGUAUGUUUUUGAUAAUUUAGACAUUAAUUACCAUUUUUCUAUUAAAAAUAUGUUGUUUGUACAUUGAAAUUCAACAGGCUGCUAGCUUUUGUAUUUUCAUUGAAGCACUGUUGUUAUGUAUACUUUACGGAAGGUGGCUGAGCCACCUAACGAAACACUGAGUGUGGUAAUGUAUUUGUGUUGCAACAUCAAUAAAGUUUGGUUCACUUCUUCCAACUCAUUAUACAUCAUGGACACAGGUGGUGAAUUCUCCACUGAAAAAACAAAAUGGUCUUUGAUGUUUUCCAAAGCUUGAUUAGUUGUUCAUUGAGCUGCUGAUUGCCUCUCUCACUUAUAUUAUUUGUUGUCUUGGAAACAACUGUUUACUUAUAGCCAAACGUUUUCAUUCUUAGCCUACCCUACCUUAGAGCAGUAGUUCUCAGUAUGGGGUUAUAGAUUGUAAGAUACAUUGUAAAGGGG